rnacentral:rRNA from 1 species
GACGAACGCUGGCGGCGUGCCUAAUACAUGCAAGUCGAACGCAGUGGGGACGGGGGAGUAACACGUGGGUAACCUCCCAUCAGAGGGGAUAACACUUGGAAACAGGUGCUAAACCGAUACUGAUGGAUGGACCCGCGGUGCAUUAGCGAGUUGGCGAGGUAACGGCGCACCAAGGCCACGAUGCAUAGCGGACCUGAGGGGGGGUUCGGCCUCCCUAGGACUGAGACACGGCCCAGACUCCUACGGGAGGCAGCAGUAGGGAAUCUUCGGCAAUGGACGAAAGUCUGACCGAGCAACGCCGAGUGAGUUAAGGAGGUUUUCGGAUCGUAAAACUCUGUUGUUAGAGAAGCGGUAUCUAACCAGAAAGCCACGGCUAACUACAGGCCAGCAGCCGCGGUAAUAC